GACGAACCGUGCGAACGUUGUUCGGAUUCACUGGGCUUAAAGGGCGCGUAGGCGGCCUGUUAAGUCGAACGUGAAAUCCCCGGGCUCAACCCGGGAACUCGCGUCCGAUACUGGCAGGCUUGAAUCCGGGAGAGGGAUGCGGAAUUCCAGGUGGUAGCGGUGAAAUGCGUAGAUAUCUGGAGGAACACCUGCGGCGAAGGCGACUUCGUGGCCUGAGUUCGUUCGA
rnacentral:rRNA from 1 species